CGGAGAGGGAGCAUGAGAAACGGUCCUACAUCCCCCGAAGGCAGCAGGCGCGCAACUUACCCAAUCCUUACACGGGGAGGUAGUGACGAUAAAUGCCGAUAUAGGACUCUACAGAGUGCUAUAAUUGGAUUGAGAACAAUUUAAACCCCUUAACGAUUAUCCAUUGGAGGGCAAGUCUGGGGGCGGGGGGCGCGGUAAUUCCAGCUCCAAUAGCGUAUAUUAAAGUUGUUGCAGUUAAAAAGCUCGUAGUUGAAUCUCGAAAGUCAGGGGUUGCGGUCCGCCACAACGGUGUGCACUGGACCCUUGCUUUCUACCUUCCGAAGGUUCGCUCCCGUCACUUGACUGCGACGGGAACCAAGCGAAUUUUGGAUCGUUUACUUUGAAAAAAUUAGAGUGUUCAUAGCAGGCGGGGGUUGCCUUUGAAUACAUAAGCAUGGUAUAAUGGAAUAGGACCUCGGUCCUACUUUGUUGGUUUUUGGGGCCGAAGUAAUGAUUAAAAGGGAUGGUUGGGGGUAUUAGUAUUUAGUUGUCAGAGGUGAAAUUCUAUGAUUGUCUAAAGACUAACUACUGCGAAAGCAUUUACCAAGGAUGUUUUCAUUAAUCAAGAACGAAAGUUGGGGGAUCGAAGACGAUCAGAUACCGUCGUAGUCUCAGCCGUAAACUAUGCCGACCACGGAUUCGGAGACGUUACCUGGAUGACUCUCCGAGCACCUUGUGAGAAAU
rnacentral:rRNA from 1 species